UACGGAGGGUGCAAGCGUUAUCCGGAUUCACUGGGUUUAAAGGGUGCGUAGGCGGCCUUGCAAGUCAGUGGUGAAAGCCCGCAGCUUAACUGCGGAACUGCCAUUGAAACUGCCAGGCUUGAGUAUAAUUGAAGUGGGUGGAAUGCAUCAUGUAGCAGUGAAAUGCUUAGAUAUGAUGCAGAACCCCGAUUGCGAAGGCAGCUCACUAAAUUGUAACUGACGCUGAGGCACGAAAGCGUGGGUAGCGAACAGG
rnacentral:rRNA from 1 species